rnacentral:rRNA from 1 species
GAUGAACGCUGGCGGCGUGCCUAAUACAUGCAAGUCGAGCGAACAGACGAGGAGCUUGCUCCUCUGACGUUAACGGCGGACGGGUGAGUAACACGUGGAUAACCUACCUAUAAGACUGGGAUAACUUCGGGAAACCGGAGCUAAUACCGGAUAAUUUAUUGAACCGCAUGGUUCAAUAGUGAAAGCCGGUUUUGCUGUAACUUCUAGAUGGAACCGGGCUGCAUUAGCUAGUUGGUAAGGUAACGGCUUACCAAGGCAACGAUGCGUAGCCGACCUGGGAGGGGGAUCCGGCACACUGGAGCUGAGACGCGGUCCAGAGUCCUAGGGGAGGCAGCAGUAGGGAAGCUUGCGCGAUGGGGGAAAGCCUGACGGAGCGGCGCCGCGUGGAUGAUGAAGGUCUUCGGAUCGUAAAACUCUGUUAGUAGGGAAGAACGAAUGUGUAAGUAACGAUGCACGUCUUGACGGUACCUGAUCAGAAAGCCACGGCUAACUACGUG